AUUGAACGCUGGCGGCAUGCCUUACACAUGCAAGUCGAACGGUAACGCGGGGCAACCUGGCGACGAGUGGCGAACGGGUGAGUAAUGCAUCGGAACGUGCCCGGUAGUGGGGGAUAACUGCUCGAAAGAGCAGCUAAUACCGCAUACGACCUGAGGGUGAAAGGGGGGGAUCGCAAGACCUCUCGCUAUCGGAGCGGCCGAUGUCGGAUUAGCUGGUUGGUGGGGUAAAGGCCUACCAAGGCGACGAUCCGUAGCUGGUCUGAGAGGACGACCAGCCACACUGGGAAUGAGACACGGCCCAGACUCCUACGGGAGGCAGCAGUGGGGAAUUUUGGACAAUGGACGCAAGUCUGAUCCAGCCAUGCCGCGUGCGGGAAGAAGGCCUUCGGGUUGUAAACCGCUUUUGUCAGGGAAGAAAUCUUCUGGGUUAAUACCUCGGGAGGAUGACGGUACCUGAAGAAUAAGCACCGGCUAACUACGUGCCAGCAGCCGCGGUAAAAC
rnacentral:rRNA from 1 species